rnacentral:lncRNA from 1 species
GUGUUAUUAUAAUAGUGCAUUUCUCCCUACACCUGAGAUUCAUGUAGUAUUUGCAACUGGACGUUUACACAAAUCAAUCCAUCUACCCAUUUAUUAUGUGGCUAUAAGAUGUAAAAAAAAAAAAAUAUCAGCUUACUGUUACAAUUCAUCGUCUUAGUUAAAGUUUCCGUUAUGAUUCAAGCAUAUCGAAUUGUAAAAUCUGCUGUAAGGAAAGUUAUGAACAUUUUAAAGCCGUGUUUUGUUAUGCAAGCAAGAUCUUAAAAUUUUUUUCCAUGGUUCUGGAGUAAAGCUGUGGAUAUUUCCUUAUUUAUUCAAAUAGAAAAAAAAUAUCAUCGGUCCGACAUAUAAAAAGCACCUUGCCAUUUUUUAAUAUCAUUAAUUAUAUCUUCAAGCAGUUCUGUUUUGAAUCGGGAAGAACAAUAUCUACUUCAAUUCAAAUGUUCGCUCGGUGUGACUCUCUGAAACAAUCAAUACGUGAACUUUGCUGCAAAACGUACUAUACAAUAUAUGGAUUUAUUUUUUCCGUAAAUGUGAAAUAAUCGACACAUCUUACAGCAUUUACUAGGGUCUGAAUGGGGUCUUUCAUAUCUGUAUUCUAUGAUAAUUUAGAUCAUAUUCCUUUAUUUCUUUUAUAUUUUAUGCCCAUUGUCAUGAUUAUUUUCUAUUCUGUAUAUAUUAGACCCUUUUUAUCUAUUUUUUUGGGAGUAAAUUAUUUUCUUUUUUUCUUCUUUUAGCUCUAAUCACGACCCUCAUUUACGUUUGUUGUGCAUGCGAUAUAUAAACUGCAGUCUCGCAAAGCUAUACCUGUGUGAAGACAACUUCACAGUAUCAAUGUUUCAUAUACUAACUAUGAAGUAAAUAAAAUGCAUUUCUUUACGUACAUAAAUACAUCCGACAAAUGUUUGCAAAAAUAAGCAAAUAUUUGUCAGCAUUUACUUUGGUUGUAAAUGUUUUAUAAACCGCGGUCUCUCAAAACUUUGCAUACGUCUAUAAAGAUAUGUUGCAAAUAUUAAUAUUUAUCAAAAUAACUAUGAUAGUGGAAAGUAUUAGUAAAUAAAAUACAUGUCUUUACAUACAUAAACUAUAUCGACAAAUGUUUGCAAAUAUAACACAAACAUUUGACAGCAUUUACUUUGGCUGUAAAUGUUUUAUAAACCGCGGUCUCUCAAAACUUUGCAUACGUCUGUAAAGAUAUGUUGCAAAUAUCGAUAUUUAUCAAAAUAUUUAUGAUAAUGGAAAGUAUAAGUAAAUAAAAUGCACUCCUGUACAUACAUAAACGAUAUCGACAAACGUUUUCAAAUAUAACACAAACAGUUGACAGCAUUUACAUUGGUUGUAAAUGUUUUAUAAACCGCGGUCUCUCAAAACUUUGCAUACGUCUGUAAAGAUAUGUUGCAAAUAUCGAUAUUUAUCAAAAUAACUAUAAUACUGGAAAGUAUUAGUAAAUAAAAUACAUUUCUUUACAUGCAUGAACGAUAUCGAAAAACGUUUGCAAAUAUAACAUAAACAUUUGACAGCAUUUACAUUGGUUGUAAAUGUUUUAUAAACCGCGGUCUCUCAAAACUUUGCAUACGUCUGUAAAGAUAUGUUGC